GAAUAUUUGCAUUGGAUAUUAGGAAAUACUUUUUCACUGAAAGGGUUGUCCAGCAUUGUAACAGGCUGACCAGGGAAGGGGUUGAAUCACCAUCUCUGGAAGUAUGUAAAUGAUGCGUAGAUGUGGCACUGAGGGACAUGGUUGAGCGGUGGACUUGGCGGUGAUGUAUUAAUGGUUGGUCUUGAAGAUCUUAUAACUCUUUUCCAACCCUAACCCAAAUGAUUCUAUGAUUCCAUUCUGACCUAUCCACGUGCCUUUAAAAAGCAAUACCCAAGAUCCUUUCCGUAGGUAGGUCAGAACUUAGUUGUCUUGUAAGCAGUAGCAAACGUUCAGAUACCAGUAAGACCAUGCAAAGCUGUGUGUGCGUAAAAAUGUUGUUAGUUCCCAGAACUUGCUGGUACUCCUCCAGUUCCAAAGCAUGCAUACAAUCCAGCAUGUGUAGCAGCUCCCCCCAGGCCUUGUGACUGUAUCCCUGACAGAUGAAAAUGUGUUUCAUGCAGGUGGGCUUUCUAAUUGUAGCACAUUCCAGCAAGGUGCAGUGUUUGGUUCUAGUGCAGCUCUGGGGGAACUGUAGCUGCUCUGUGUGCAUUUUUCCAUGAUGCCAUCUUUGCUUUCCAUUUUGUCUCGAUUCAGUUGUAAUUAGGAUCAUCAUAGUUACCACAAUACUGCUGCUGCAGAGCUCCCCAAAAUGACUGGCCCUGUCAGGGUACCUGAGACAGUGAGCAAAGGUUGUGGGGCCGCUGUCUGCCAGCUGAGGAGAACAAACGGAGCUGCUGGGAACAAGUCAUUGUGGACUGAAUAUAGUUUGGGGUGAAAAGGCUAGCACAGGCACCCGGCUGCCGGCAUGCUCUUGGGUGGAGAGAAGCCCUGAAUCAGGGAGCACUUUAGUGCCAUGUCUUCACUUUGAGGUUUGGGUCUGGCCUUGAGGGCAUCUCAGAGCCAUGGGAGACAUUGAGGGCAUUACUGGGGCUUUUUAUGUGUGUGCUGUCAAUUCAUUAUGGAAUUCAGAAGGCAAAAGUAAAGCUUUUGGCCAAAGAAACAGCAAUUGGUGAGGAGGUGCUUACAGCUGGAGAGAACAGACAGAACAAGUAUCCAACUGGACAAAACAAGUUGUAUAUAAACAGUCUCUAAAACUGUUUACAAAGUCCAAAAGAAAUCAAAAUACAGAAGAUUUUUUUUUUCUGUCUGAGAGCAGAGGACACAGAUGUUGGUUCUUUUUCCCUUCCAUCAGUGUUGGGCAGCAGUGUUGGUGGUGACACUGUCUGUGCCUGUGGUGUUUUGGGGUGCGAGGCUCCUCAUAUUGCACAAGCACUUCCAUCAGUCAUAUAGCCAUUUCUGCAGUCUCUGCCAGGUGCAUCAGGAGAAGCAUAACAACUACAGGCACUCUCAUUUGACUUCUUUCUCUUCUGCCAUUCUCCCUGUAUCAGAGCACCAAAUCAUCCAUUGCCCUGCAGCAAUCAGUCAUUAAUAAGAACCUUGCUACUGCCAGGGCACUUCUCAAGCCACUGCAGCCAAGGUUACUUCUGGGAAAGGCAGAAAACAAGCUAGGUUUUCAGCUGCUGCAGAAAGGAAAAAAUAGCCAUUUAAAAACCUAUGUUUUUAAUUUUACCUGCUACCCAGGGCAGCACUGUAGGGCUGCAGCACUGCAGAGGGAUGCCUUGUUAGAAGCUUGUCUUGCCAGUGCUGCCAUGAUGAGUAAGUAAAAACUCAGCAAAUAGGUCCCCUUUUCCCAAAAGAGGGGACGCCCAGAGGAUGAAAAGAACUAGCAAGCAUUACAGAGUUUGGUGCAUGAAGUUACCAAUCUCUGGCCAGAGAGAGAAAUUGCUUCAGGUGGCCAGAGAAUGCUUCAUGAUUCCUCUGUUUAGCAGAAAAGGAGCCUGCUGAAGUGUCUGUGGUGUGCAAAGCAGAAAUAAACGACUAUCCCCAGGAUCGUCAAGGGAACAGAACCUGCUGCAAGGAAGCAUGGUCUGGGUUAGUUGACAAGAAGCAGAAAUACCAGCAGCAAUUGCCUCCUGCCCUGGGAUAUCCCUUCUUCUGUCAUUUGAAUCUCAGUGAAGCAGCUGGACUGUCAACACUUAUGGCAAGACCACGUAUACAGGACCACAAGUCAUGUUUCUGUGGCAAAGCGUGGGCUGGAGGAGAUCACAACAUGCUGCUGCUGGCUGAGGGAGGAGUAGGCAACAUGGAGGAGAGGGGCUAGGAUUUCUUAACCUUUACUGUUAGUUUCUCAGAAGGAAGACUGCAGGACCAGCUCCUUAGCUAGCAUAAAAAGACACAUAUCCAUGGAGCUGAACAGUGUUCAUUUGCUUCACUAGGAAAAGCACAGAAACACAGAAAUGUUGGUUGGAAGAGUCCUCUGAAGGCCCAAGGUCCGCCGGGCUCCUGCUUAGCACAGGACUAUCACACUACAUCAGAUCAGCUUUGGCAUUGUCUAGCGAAGUCUUCAAAGCCUCCAAACAUGGAGAGUGGAAAGUCUCCCUCUUGGGAGAUGUUUUCCCUAAUGUCCAUUCUCCUCUCCCAAGCUCCAGCCUGGACUUGUUGUCCCACAUUUGUCCAUUUGUUGCUUGCAGGAGGGAUUGGGCUCUGUCAGUCCCCCAUUGAGGGAGGCAUGAUUUGCAAUAGGCUCCUGUUAGAUCACCCUCCAUCCCCCUGCCUAUGGACUAAACCCACCCAGCUCCCCCAAGCUCCGCUCCUGCUGUGUGCCCUCUGCCCCAGCCAUCUCAGUACACCUCUUACUGGGCCUGCUCUCACUUAAGGGUCGAAAGCAACAUGGUAUGUUGCUGGUGGCUUCUGGAGAACAGCAGCUUCCCUCUCCCUGCCAGCUAAUGAGCCUCCUCCUGUGGCCUGCCAGGCACUUUGUCCCAUUGGCGAUGCCAGCACAUGCUGGGCUCAAACAAGGUAUGACCCGUAAUUCAUAGCAACGUGAAUACCAUCAGAGAUUUCAUUCACUGCACUGGAGAUAGUACAGUAAGCAAGCAGUUUCAAAAUCCAAUUUCAUAGACACAGAGAUUACAUUAAUCUCUUCUAAUAGCUAAACAAUUCAGUUUUCAAGAUAGGACAAAGCAUGGGAUAUUCUUGACAAAACUGGUGCUUCAAAGGUGCCUACAUCAGAUUUAAAAUCCUAACUCCUAAACUCCUAAUGAUAGAACCGAUUGUAUCUUUUCAGACAGUAGUGCUGCAAAACUUGCAUUUAAUCUCCUCUUUUUAUAACACGCUGUAGCUGCCUGAGCUUGCCUGUGGGAAGCAAAUGUAGAUUGUCUUUGCCUUCAAAUACCAUAUGAGGAAACUUACGCAGCCCUCACCAACUGAUCUUGGGGGCCUGUGGAAUGAUAAAAGCUCAAAUUAUCAAAGUACCUGUAAACUGCCUUCUGAUUUCUAGCUGGAGUACCUCCCUGAAUCUGGACCCUUUGAUUUAAGGUAGCUGCUUUCUUUCACCAUGUCUCAACAGGCAGUAAAGGGCAUAGCUUUAAUUCCUGUUGGCUCAGUUGCAUUACCUCAACAUGACUGAAAACCCCUCUUCACCUCCAGAAAUGCAGAAAUGAAUGUGGAUCUACAUUGGAAGCUUCUGCCUGUGUACUGAGUACCUUGUAAUAUACAGGGAUGUUUCCAUAUUGCCAAAAAUAUUGGUGUGAUUUGCUUUUCUUUUUGGCACUGUUUUGCUUGGAGAACCCAAAUUAUCUGUUCCGGAGAAGGCACUAUUUAUUGAGCUAGACUGCACAUUUUCAGAGAAUUUUCAGGUCUUGUGGUAUAGCUGUAUCCAUUUUGGGCUGAUUUCUAGUGCUUGUGUUGUGAUUUAGGCCACUGACAAAUAAGCUCUGGCAAAUGAUGGUGAGGUGACUGACCCACCCAGCUGUUUUUAUUGCUCUGCUGGCAAAGAUUACGGUCCCUGCAGCAGAAUUGGCAGAAGACAACAUAUGUCCAGGGCAGAGCUGCUCCAAAUGGCAUCUGAGUUGAAAUCUCCAAGGACAUGGGAUUAGACUAGACAGAAGACUGUGAACUAGAGAUAUUCAGAUGUGGUCUAUAGUGGUUUAUGCCCACCAAAAACAGCACUGCUUCUGUGCCUCAGGUCCUUACAGCUUCUACCCCGUGUGACUGUCCCCUCUUUGCACCAGAACUGGCAAUCAUCUGAUCCUAAUAGGAGAUGAUAUAGACAACUCAAGCCAGCCAAAUGAUUCACCUAGAAGGUGUGGAGGGGACUAAAGCACCACUAAUUUCUAUCAGAUUAAUCAUGAUACCUCUCUCUCAGAUAAUAGUAAAAGUGUCCUUGUGUCUCAGCUCCACUCUAGCCUUUGGUGGUAGAGUGGUAUCAAGCAACAGAGGGUGAUAAUGUCUUCAUCUGCUCAUUUGUUUUCCAACCAAACAAUAAUCUGAGGGCAGAGACUCCCCCAGAUGCUCCUGUAUGGCCAGCUAGCAAGGCCUCUGCUGCCAGGGAUAUUAUCUCUUAUCCUUUUGGGUAAUCCCCAUUCUGCCAUGGGAGUAACCUGCCGUAGUGGUGGCCCAGCUGUCAAAAAUGGAGCUGGCAUUGGCCCUUGUCUCUUUCCUCUCAUGAGUCAGAGAGUGGCUGGCCCGAGGCUGCCCUUACACCCUGGUGGAACAGCGAGCAGGAGCCACAGCAGGAGCAAGUUAGAACUGACUGACCUGAGCAAUAUUUCCAGGCUAAAACACACGAGAGUUUUCCUCUCCCUGGCCUGUUACUGACAUGGCAAAAUUCAGUGGGAAAACAACUGGGCUUUAAAUAUAUAGUGAGCCUUUCCCCACCCAUUACCACCUAACUGAUAAGCUGCUCCAGGCUAUCUUGUUUAUGAGCGUUUAAUACCUCUUAGCAUUUGUGUUUGCCUUGAAGCUACAGGCAGCUAUGUGCUGUACUGUGCUGAAUAUUCGUGCCAUAAGUACAAACACGUUUGAAGAUCUGCUUUGAAGCAAACUUGACCCUCUGCAUUCUCUCCCAAGACUCCUGAGGAAUAUUAUGCAUCACUAUAUUCAGAGCAAAGCCUUGAAGGGCAGGGAGAGAGGAUACACAUAGGAAUAGUUAGGAACAGGAACAUAUAGUCACAUAUCUAUCGCAUAAAUGCUUCCAGCAGCACUUCAGACAUCAGUUUGCAUAAACGAAUUUGCAGGACCUCAUUCCUAUAAAGCAGCUUCUGCUGCAUACAGAUCUUUUAGGCUCACUGGCCUAAGAUCAGGCUCACUAUCCAGAUUCUUGUUGCCCUCAAGAGCUAUCGCCUGCAACCCCAAUAAUUGCCCUGAACCAAAAAUCUCAGAGUAAGCAGAGAUAGUAAAACCUGAGCCAUGUGCAUGGAUGGCUCUUGUGCACUCAUAUUCCUUCUGUCAGCUGCUUAUAGGGGUUGAAAACCUUCAGAAGGCAGAUACAAGUGACAUGAAAUAGUCUGAGUUAAAAACUCGACUCUGAGUCAAAAACUCAACUCAGCAUCAAAAAUUGUGAGAUACCCCAUGAUACGGCAUGCCAUAUGUAGAGUAAUGGCGAAGCUUAAAUGGCUUCUGCCUCAGGCAGAAUGCAACAGAAAACCUGACAGGGAAAGGUAAGAUGGUAGCAGUGAAAGCAGCCAGGAUUGCGUGGUGAUUGCUGCAUGGGAGGUUGCAGCCAAGACUCUAAAAUUACUUAAACCACUAUUGUAUACUUUUGGGUUUGUUUCUUCUUUUCUUACGUUUUGGAGGAGAAGAGGGUGUGUCUGGAAGUUCAGAUGCUAGCUUGGGACUUAGGCCAUAUAUAUCCAGGUUUAUGCCUUGCCAGUGACUCCCUUCGCAGUUCCUGAGGGAGAACAGACUGCAUUGUUUGUGAGCUUCAAUCCAGGUCAAGCAGGCCGGAUCUUCCACAGAGAAGUUGCUGACUUUGGCCCCAAAAUGUCAUUGUUAAGGUAAGAAAAAUAUCCAAGUUUCUCUUAAUUUUUCCUAGUUGGUACGUUAUAAAGGCAUUCAGACCACUGUAGACAUAAGAAUUCAGGAAACAACAAUAAGCAACACAAAGAACAAAAAACAGUAGGUACUUCCUGAGAAGUUUGGAAAACUGACUCUUAAUGCCACUGAGGGAGGGUAAGUCCUAAUAGCUACAGUAGCCACAUGUCACCUGGGACCAGAGUGUGAAUGAUUCUCUUGUAAUAUUACUUGGUGAAUGUCUCAACAUCUUGAGCUCAUUGCAGAAGAGAAAAGAAAAAGCUGGCCAGUGUUAUUUUCUGGUGGCACUGUAACAUUAAUUUCUCUAACCCUCUGUGGUGGUAUCCAACUGUCUUGGAUAUCUGAGCAGGCAGGUCAAAGGAAAGCAAUGUGUAGACUUGAUUUUCGAAAACACCUUUUUCUAGUAAGUGUGAACUUAUUUUCUUUUAGGAAUAAUAUUUUUUCCUGGCACAUUGUAACAGAAAUAAUAAAAUAAACAAAAGCCUGGUAUACUUGUAAGAUGAACCUCAGAGCUAUACCAGGCAAGAAGCUGUCUCAAGGCAGCCUUUGUUUCCCCAGGGACUUGCACUCCAGCCACUCCCUGCCCUGGGCUAGUGUGCUGGGAUGCCCUGGCCUGGCCCAUCCUGGGCUCCCCCCAUUCUGUAGCUCUGAGCCCCACCACUUCCUGUCCUUGGAAAGGCAGAGGUGGUGGGGCAGGCUCCCAGCAGCUACAGAGGAGCAGAGGGUCUCCAUCAGGGUAUCUCCUUGCAGGAGAUGAAGAAGACAUCUCUGCCAUAGGGCUGCAGCAGGGGCAGUCACAGGCUUCCCUCUGCAGCCGGCAGCACUCUGCUUUUUCCCAUCGUUUAUUAUCUGAUGUCUGUUUUCGGCUGUUUUGUGCUGGCAUUUGGGACACCUCCUCCUUGUGGGCUGCCGAGGAUGGUGGCAGUGUCCUCACGCUGAGGGUAUUGGCCCCGGCCCUGGGCACAAAUCAUCCAUCCCCACUGCUCGCCUGACCCUCCCCUUGAGACCUACUUUUGCUGGGAGAAGCAAGGUAACCUCGCCACUGAAAAUAGCUGGGAUGCCGGCCAGUGGAGAUUAAUGGCAUCAUUAACGUUCCCAGUUUAUUUAUAGGCUUAAAAAUGCCUCGGACCUGCAAACUGAGCAGAGUCGUUCUGUGUAACACAGGGACUGACAGGUCUUCUGCUUCUACCUUUCCCCUUCCUACUAUUUCAUUCUGAUUGCUGGGACUGUAAAACCUCUGGAGCAGGGACUGUCUCUCAUUGUGAACCUACUCUGUAAACCUUCCUAACUGGGGGGAUGCACAGAGAUACUUUUUUUUUCCAAGAAUGCUGUAUUUGUCUGGUCUCCUUCCUCCACCAACUCCUGUGCACACUGUGUCCCAUGGCCUUCUUUGGGAAAAUUAUCUUUUUGAUGAAUUCCUGAGGCACGAGCUGAGCAGUUGUCACAGGAAUUUUCUGUGAUUUUCUGCCUUCGGUUUUAAAUUAUGAGCUCUGUAGGAGGAGCACUGAGAUUCUCAUAGCUGUGGAGAGCACCUAGGAUAUGUAGGGCCCUAGUGAGACAUGCAGAUGCAAUUAAUGAUCAUGGAGGUCUUUCAACAGGAGCCAGCAGAGGCAACCCAGCUUCCAGGUCCCCUAGGAACCUCAUGGCACUGGCAAGAAAAGAAAAAAACACUUCAGGUGUGUUGGCCCCAGAAGAGGAGUUUUCAGCACAUAAUGUGUGGCUGCACUGCCUGGCCUGUUUCCCAGCACUUAGUGAAAGGUAAAGAGAUACAUCUUAUAUAGUUGUUUCUCAUCUAAACUCCUGAGCACCUAACCAGAAAAGUCAGCACAACUUUCUCACUUACACUGAUGUCAGACUAGGGGAGUGAGUCUUGUGGCAAAAGGGACCAUCUGCAUCUCAAACUAAUUACCUGCUUUGAAAAGUGAAUAUACAAAGUGCAUUGCAGGCAGCAAAGGCAUCGCUGUGCUUUUACGAGAAAAAUCAAAAGCGCAGAAGCAUGUUUUGAAGUGAAGGCACAUUGUCAAUAAUUAUGCACGGUUUGGGUUUGUGCUGUCUUGCCACUCAUCCUUGGAUCCUACACCGAGUCCUGACUUUCUUAUGGCACAGAUAAUAACUUAAAAGAAAGAAGUCCAACAGAAUUUCCAUGAUCUAUAUCUACAGCAUCACGCAUGGAAGACAUAAUAUUUGAUGGUAAAUUUUUGCUUUGACGUUAUAGUAGAAGUUAAGAGAAAAGGUGUCAUCCUUGGCCUAGAGUUUCAUGAGUGCCACAGGCAGAUGAGCUCUUUUAAACCUUCUUCUCCUCUUCCAAAAGGAGAAACUCACAAUCUGGACUCAAUUGAACUUUAAAGCCAUAAAAUUCCAGGUUCCAAUAAAUCUUCAUUUUAUAAAAAACACAUCCAUCAUAUAUCGUAACAGAAACCAUAAAAGAAA